rnacentral:rRNA from 1 species
AGUUGCAUGGCAGACGAGGUAGUAACACGUAGGAACGUACCCAGAAGUCGGGCAUAACCCGGAGAAAUCCGGAAUAAUUCCCGAUAGUCUCGCAAGAGUAAAGUUUUUCGCUUCUGGAGCGGCCUGCGCAGUAUCAGCUAGUUGGUGAGGUAAAGGCUCACCAAGGCUAUGACGCUUAGGGGAGGUGAGAGCCUGACCCCCACCGAUGGAACUGAGACACGGUCCAUACUCCUACGGGAGGCUGCAGUCGAGAAUCUUCCACAAUGGGCGAAAGCCUGAUGGAGCGAUACCGCGUGGUGGAUGAAGCACUUCGGUGCGUAAACAUCUUUUCUGAAGGAGGAAAUUUUGACGUUACUUCAGGAAUAAGGGGCUCCUAAUCUCGUGCCAGCAGGAGCGGUAAUACGAGAGCCCCAAGCGUUACCCGGAAUUAUUGGGCGUAAAGGGUGUGUAGGCGGUCAUGUUAGUCAUUUGUUAAAGCCCGGGGCUCAACCUCGGAUCUGCGAGUGAAACGGCAUGACUAGAGGGUGUGAGAGGAAAGUGGAACUCAUGGUGUAGGGGUGAAAUCCGUUGAUAUCGUGGGGAACACCAAAUGCGAAGGCAACUUACUGGCACACUCCUGACGCUGAGACACGAAAGCCAGGGUAGCGAAGAGGAUUAGAUACCCUCGUAGUCCCGGCCCUAAACGAUGUUCGUUGGCUUU